CCCCUAGAUGUUCUGGGCCGCACGCGCGCUACACUGAACAGUUCAACAAGUCUUAACCUUGGCCGAUAGGUCUGGGUAAUCUUUGAACGCUGUUCGUGAUUGGGAUAGACCUUUGCAAUUAUGGGUCUUCAACGAGGAAUUCCUAGUAAACGCAAGUCAUCAGCUUGCAUUGAUUACGUCCCUGCCCUUUGUACACACCGUCCGUCGCACCUACCGAUUGAAUGGUCCGGUGAAAUCUCGGGACGGCGGCUUGGUCGCUUGCGUCCGACUGCUGAAACUUGAUUAAACCAUAUCAUUUAGAGGAAGGUGAGGUCGUAACA
rnacentral:rRNA from 1 species